UACGUAGGGUCCGAGCGUUGUCCGGAAUUAUUGGGCGUAAAGGGCUCGUAGGCGGUCUGUUGCGUCGGGAGUGAAAACUUACAGCUUAACUGUGAGCGUGCUUUCGAUACGGGCUAGACUUGAGGCAUUCGAGGGGAGAACGGAAUUCCUGGUGUGAGCGGUGAAAUGCGCAGAGUAUACAGGAGGAACACCGGUGGCGAAGGCGGGUCUCUGGGCCGAGUGACUGACGUGGAGGAGCGAAAGCGUGGGGAGCGAACAGGA
rnacentral:rRNA from 1 species